rnacentral:rRNA from 1 species
UUUAUCGGUAAGAGAUCAGCUUGUACAGUAUCAGUUAGUUGGUGGGGUAAUGGCUUACCAAGACUAUGACGCUUAACUGGUUUGAGAGGAUGAUCAGUCACACUGGAACUGAGACACGGUCCAGACUCCUACGGGAGGCAGCAGUGGGGAAUAUUGCACAAUGGACGAAAGUCUGAUGCAGCAACGCCGCGUGGAGGAUGACACAUUUCGGUGCGUAAACUCCUUUUAUAUGAGAAGAUAAUGACGGUAUCAUAUGAAUAAGCACCGGCUAACUCCGUGCCAGCAGCCGCGGUAAUACGGGGGGUGCAAGCGUUACUCGGAAUCACUGGGCGUAAAGAGCAUGUAGGCGGAUUGAUAAGUUUGAAGUGAAAUCCUAUAGCUUAACUAUAGAACUGCUUUGAAAACUGUUAAUCUAGAAUGUGGGAGAGGUAGAUGGAAUUUCUGGUGUAGGGGUAAAAUCCGUAGAGAUCAGAAGGAAUACCGAUUGCGAAGGCGAUCUACUGGAACACUAUUGACGCUGAGAUGCGAAAGCGUGGGGAGCAAACGGGAUUAGAUACCCCGGUAGUCCACGCCCUAAACGAUGCACACUAGUUGUUGUGAGGCUAGACCUUGCAGUAAUGCAGUUAACACAUUAA